AUUAAGCACAUAGCUUGCAUGAAGGGCCUUCUUUUUUAUGGAAUUGACACACACGGGAAGUAUCCUGGGGCAGCAGGCAACAUUCCGAGUCUCCCAGACUGCAGCAAGCAGUGGCCAGGAAAAAAAAAGACGGCAAAUGAUCUUUUUUCUGCAAGCCAUAUCAUCGUUCUUAACAAUACAGGAGCAAAUUAAGAUGUCAAGUAGGGGAUUUGUCUGUGUAGAAUGCCUAGUAUAAUGGCUUUCAUGAAGAAUGACAGGUCUGCAGUCAUAGUUUCCUUUGCAAUUUGCUUCUACAGCAGAAUGGCAGUGCCUGGCAAUAAAGCAGAACCAUGCACCCAGCAACACCUUUGAUCUCGACCAUAUGGAGCUCCUCAGCAUUCUCGAGAAAAAUUUCCCUCGCCUCAGUGCGGGCUGCGAUGAGUUGGGGGGGGUGCUACCCCCAGAUGGCCAAAUACUGCUCGUGCCUGUGACUUCAUUGAUUAUUUUCUUUUGUGAUUGGUCCUGAUUAAAAAUAAAUCAUGCUCCUGGAACUGGAUGCAAACCAGCUAUCAGUAA